UGAUAGCAUUAACACGAUCAAUUUGGGUAUUGUAAAUCCCCAUAAAAAACUUCGAAAAAGUAAAAAAAUUACGCCAAGUACAUGAAAAAGUCGAGGACGAAAAGGAGUAUUAUCAAAUAAAAAAGAUGUGAAAUCGAAAUGAGCUACAAGUACAUAAAGAUACGAGCUUUGUGAGCGCUCACAGAGCGGGUGAGUGCUCACAAAGUGCCGGCUGCGCUCAUAAAGCGCUUAGUAAGCGGCGGCCUUUUGAAUCCACCCAAUGAGAGGGCGUCUUCUACCCCUACUCAGCGCCGUUCACUUCGUCAUCCCCACCCGAGCGGCUUAGAGCGAGAGCAGUAGUCAGUCGUCUCGUGGAAGUAAAAGUGACAAGAUGUGUUAGCCGCCGCGUCAUUAACUAGUCAUUAAGUUAAAAUACCAUUGGACAACAACUGAGAAAAUUCUCAACCAUUAUCAUUGACUUUCCCUACUCACUGCUUCUUCACUCGAGAGAGGUCAUCGUACGUUCUAUGGAAUCAAAAGUAACAACACGUGUCAAGCGGAGCGUCAUUAACAAGGGUGAGAGUUAUGCCCGUCGAUGGGGCGACACGGUUCGCUCGAGGCGCCAAAUGCGCAGGAAACGGACGCACAUGCGCGCUAACAACGGAGAACACGCGCUCGAGGACUCGCUACGCUGUGGACUUCCCCUCGUGCGCGAUGAUAGUCGAGGACUCAGAGAUGGCGUUGGUCCAGCGUGUGCGCGCGUGGACCCAACCACCUAAUCUCGGACGGCACGGAUGUCUUUCAGGGGAUGCACGAGUGAGUGUUUGUCGCCUGUGCAGGUGAUAGCAGCGCGACGGAGAAGUCAGAGUCCAGAACUAAGUCGCUGAUGCAACCGACGAUCCCCUUCACGUAUUUGCCCCCUGUUGUCCUCACGAUGUCUGGCGCACCACCUAUGGGAAUAUCCAAGGCUCGUCUCGAUAACAAGCUUUCCCUACCAAAAGCGACAAAACGCGCAGAGGGAGUUGAACUCAGAUGGCUGAACUUUCGAGGGCCUCAUUCGUAAUUACGGAAAGUUUAAACGACCGAUGCCUCUGUUCCGUAGGCUAGAAAACUUCCGUGGAACUUUUACAGGCUCGUCGAGACGGACGAGCUUCUCUACCUACUGUAUCAAUCUACCUAAAUCCAAGCCACUCCGAGACGAGGGGUUAUCGAAAACAACCCCUCACGAACGCCACCAGAGACCAGCAACGUUCAAAGAGCUAACGAAACUGCGAAUCGCAGGUUUUUCACGUAAAGUACGGCGAUAAACCGCGCACAAGGGCGAGAGAAAAAAAAAAGAGGGUGUCUCCUGUUUCGAAUGAGGCGGCGAAUGGCCCACGAUAGGGGGUGGGGGUGAAGUGGCCUCACGGUUGUGUCCACGUGUUCACGGACGCAAUGAAAAAUGCAGCGACGGAAAAAGAGCUUCGGAUAUAUUUGCAGCGACGAAGGGUCGCGAGCACGGUUCCAUUAAUGGCGCACCCCACGCGCAAUUUCACCGGGGGAUAAUGGUUUUGAACACGCUCCUACCCGUCACCACUAUUCGUCUCCCUAGUUGGUAAAAGUGCACUUUCUCCCGUUGGGCAGCACGCCCUUCAACGACGCCUGAUCCCCUGGUGGGCACUCGACUUUAGAUCGAUGCAGGACCUUUGAAAAGAAGAACUUUAUUCCUUGCAUUUAAGGGGACGCAGGGUGAAGACGAUUGUUCGGUACGAAUAGGGAAUUGUUUGGGGGUUGGAGUGGCCUGGGAGUGGCUGUUUGAGCUCCUGGGAUUCGUGAAGAUGGGAGGAUCGAGGUGAAUGUGGUGUUGCUAUGUUUGAAUAUAUUCUAGGGGUUUUUCUAGGAGUUCAUGUACUCGUAAGGGUUGAAGACUCUUGGCCAUGUUAGAAGUCUAUUAGAAGAACUAAGUCUUCAGGAAGACUUUAUUUUUUAAUUUCAUCCAUUUCUAAUAAUUUCAAAAAUCUUGUGUUUCAGGAUCUACAUCCUCUCUGCAAAUUUUCAAUUACAAUCCAUAUAAUCAUUACCUCCUAUCCCCCACACUCCAGUGAGAAUAAUUAAAACGAAUUUGUCCUCCUUCGAAACAUUUAAAAUGACCAGAUGCAAAUCGACCAGAAAUAAACCAUCUCCUGGUCGCCUGCCAACCUCUUCUUCAUCCUCUCGCCACUCAAAAUAGACACGAAAUCACGCCCCUCGUUUAUCUCACUUAUACAUCUCGCCAACUCGACACCCUAAUCACCUCCACUAGCCACUGUCGCGAUCGAAAUUAAUAGUACCGAGUCAGAAACAGCCGCGCGAUAUUUUUUUAAUCCCCGAAUCUCGCGUGGAAGACGAGCAUUACGCUCGCGUACGUCGCUGUGAAUGAAUCAUGAUUCGUCCUACUCGCCCCUGACGAUUAACAGAGUCGAUGCCAGCGGCUCGUGACACGGACACCGCCAAUAAUCGUAUGCUAAAUCGAUGGUCCAUUAGAAACAUAUGCCGUCCCCGUUGGCGUGCAACGUUUUCUCUUGAGAAUUAUCACCGGAAAUUACCAGCUCGUUUUAUUGAUUAAUACGCUCGUUUUGCGUGCUGGAUGGUGCGUGUUAUCGACACGGGAAAACUGUAGGAAAGAUACUGCGUGGACAGUUGAAGGGACACAGGGCGAUAAGUAUGGCAGAAGUAGGAUUCAAAUCGAAGAGAAUCUAUUUGUUAGAUAUUGGAGCGUUAGGAGGAAAGUUUCAGUACGUUUAAAAUAUUCAAUAAAAUGAUACUCCGCCAAAGAACUCCCUCGAGUAAAACAAAAAUGAAAAUGAACAUAGAGGUAUUCGAAAUAUAGAGUACCUCGUGGCCGCAUAAUUUUCCACGCCCCUGUACAGCAUUAACGUUUCGACCACGUAUCCCUCUCGGCUUCUAAAUUUUCACCUCGCCAGCCAGGAACACUCCGAGUCUGAGUUCCUGGUUGUUUUUCCUCGUUACGCAUAACGAAGCGGCGAAACGCCACGUAUCCGCGGCUCUACAACAGUUACCCAGAGGGUGGAAAAAACUGCCAGCGGAAGUUCCGAACAACCGACCGGUGUUUUCCCCGUGUUCUUCUCGUGGAACGACCCCAGGGCGCAAACUUCGCCAGUGGCAACGCGAACUGACGCAACUGGUGCAGUUUUCCUCGGCGGCGCACGCGGGCGGGAACGAAAAGUCCACGCGAAAUUAGCGUUCUGACAGGGAAAGUUCGAUGCUGGGUUGGCCGUUUCGGUGCUGGGGAAUUUCUUUUGUUUAUUCGGGGGGUUCCUGAUGCACCCGGCAACGCUUUGAGGGGAUGUAAGUACAGGAAGUCGCGAAAGUACUCGCGUUGGUUCAAUUGUUGACUUAAAAGCGUCGAUAUUUAAAGACAAAAAGUUGUAGUAGCCUAUAUUUGGAUAAUUCCAUAAUUCUUUCGCAGUUAUUUUGAAGUCUAACUUUGGGUUUUGCUUUCUUCUUGGAAUUUUUCAAGCAAAGCUUUGUUUGUUAACGAAUCUUCAUUUCAAUCGGCGUUAAUGAGUAUAUAAUAAUCCGCAAGUGUUUCUGAAAGUGUUUCUUUAUAUCUAAUAAUUUGUCGUCCAACCAAUUGUCAAUGUUUCGAAGUCGUCAAUUGAGAAGGUUUAAGAGUACUUUUGCGAGCGACUAUAGGAGAACACCGGAGGCUAAUUCUUCCCGAUGAUCUUUGGUCCCUCGCCAGGGGUUCUUGCGUUUCCAUUUCGCGUUUUUUUUUUUUGCGGUUCCCGAUGUCUGACAACGGUCGUUAUCGCGAAGUACCGUUCGCGCGAGAUAAAAGAAACAAGCUCGCGGAGCGAGAAAUCGUUCUUGCGCUUCUUCGUGCUCCGAGUUGUAAUGCACCGACCCUCCUGGCAAAAGUAUCCUCUUUCAAGCUUAAUCUUCCCCCGCGUUAAGUUCGUUACUGGUUUUUUCUACGUGCAAUUUAUUGUGUAACAUCUGAAUUCUAACCAUUUAUGUCGGAGGUUUUUUUUUUUUCGUACUUUUCGAAAGAUGCCACUGUAAGAUAGAAAAAGAAUUCUGGGCUCUGAGAAUUAUAAACGAAAGAUGUUUGUUACAUUUAUAACGAUUAAUUCAAAACUGAAUCGCUAUUGUUGAUUGAAUUCUCUCGUUGAGUGUAACAUAACAAUCCACUCGUCAUGGAACUCGGUAAUUUUCAGGUAAAAAUCGUCGGAUACGCGAAUGCAAAGCAGAAAUCGAUUGGCAACAAUUCUCAGGGAUUCUUUUUGUCCCAUCUCUGUUCGCGGGUUCGGAAAUGACCGUUCGUCGCUCGACAGUCGGACAUUGUGCAAACUUGGCCGACGCGUCGAAUGAAGCGCGGCUUUAUUGCCAGGGACAAUGCGACCGUACGCGUUUACACGCGUCUACUAAAUAACGGAAGCUUUACCGACCGUGAAUUUCCAUAAGAGACGACCGUGUCCAAUUCAUUACUCCUCAGAUCGUUUCCCGUCCGCGGAGCGUGGCCAAUUUUCUCGUCGGGAUUUUCACCAGGAAGAGCAAACUUCCACGACAACGUUCUGAAAAUCGAGGACUGCGUUCUUUACGAUUCGAAAACACUAGUCGUUUAUUUUAUGCAAUUGGCGGGGCAACGUACCAAGGACAUUUCUGUAGGGACCAAUUUAGUCUACAGAUCACGGUUUUGAACGGGUAUUGAAAUAUACGGGUACACGGAACACGUGUAUUAAGAGAUUAAGAACACGGGUAUUUUUAAUACACUGGUACUACCCGGGUAUUGAAAUACGCUGACGCCUGGAUAUCUAAAUAUACGGGUAUCUGCAUCGAAAUACACGGGACACAUACAUCGAAAUAUACGGGUACAGUAUCCAAUUAGUUUUACAUACAAACUUUUAUGUAAAAGAAAGCUUUUAUUCUAAAAUAACGAUCCUUAUUAAUUUCGAAAAAAUUGAUAAGCAAUCAAACAAAGAAAUGAAAAAAAUAUAAACAUAAGACGAAUAAAUAUAACAUAAUAAAUUUUUUAGUGUACUUUGUAAAACUUUAUUUAUUAGUUAAAAUAAAGGUUCAAGUAAAUGUCGUACCCGCGUAUUUCGAUGCACGUGAAUCAGGGAUCUCUACAAUUUACCCUCUGACUACGAAGGGCGAAUUUAACGCAGGGGAUGAUCAACUUUGAAAGAUGAUGUUUUCGCCAGUCCGUAUUGUAGCAAUUGCGAGACAACUAUCGCCCGCGGAGGAAUCCCGUGUUUCAAGUUCUUGUUGAGGUGUAAUUGAUACGCGGGCCACGAUAGCAUCUAAUUAGAGCGGCGCAUCGACUCGUUAGGUGUCGGAAUUAUGGGAAACUGUAAGCGGGACCGGGACAGGCGUAAUCCGUGUGCCGCAUGUGCAGCACAUGCACCUGUGGCGCACCCUGCAUAACGUACCUAAUCGAUUGACUAUCCGCUGUGACGCGACAAAUUGUGUUUGUACGAGCCUCCCCCCGUUGCAUUAUGCCGGGAACAAUAUUCGAGGACAUCGUGUCUCCUUCUGCCUCUGAUCCGCAGUGUGCUUCCUUUCCUAUCGUUUGUUGUAUGAACAAAAUUAUAGAAGCCUGUACAACGAGUAUAGAUAUGUCAUGUUUAACGUUAAACUAGUUUUACUUGAAAUUAUAUUUACUUCAUUCGUUAUAGAUUUGAUUGAAUUUUAUUUGAAUUGGGAGCCAGAACGAAUGAUUAUUCUGUAGAGAUUAUAUUAUAGAAACAAGCUCGUGAUAUGAAUAUCAAAACUUGGGGAAUCGUGAGCAAGAAACUCUUUUCUUUUUUUUUUUUU